rnacentral:lncRNA from 1 species
GAUCAGCUUGCCCCAAAUCAUACCUGCAGGUUUCAUUAUCCAUCAGUUUCUAAAUGCCAAAAGAAUAAUAAUAACAUACAAAAAAUUCAUGUACUAAAGUGUUCAUUUCAAUACAAGGGAAUACAACUAAUUUGAUGUUAUUAACUCAACCGAAUUUUAUGUACUCUUGAGUAUGUUUCAUGGAAUUUUAUUUUCAUAUAUUAACAUCGUGUGCUAUUUAUUUAUGCAUUAACGAGAAUUACUCACGCGCGAUAUGCUCCAAUCAAUGCUACAGCCAUCAUUGUGCAAUUGUGCGCAGCAGUUACUCCUCGAGGAUCAUCUUCGAAAACAACACACUUGGAAGGUUUCCGAUCAAGCUGCAAGGCAUUUUAGGCAAACAAGUCAAAAAUUAGCACCAAAUUAUAGGAAGAAUGAGAAAGAAUUUAUGGAAGAUUUGCCCGAAACUUAGGUAGUGGAAACUAAUCCCACCAAAUGCAACAUCUCAAUAAUGGCGCUUUCGGCCAUUAGCAUUUAUUGUUAUUGAUGUCUAAGGCCACACGAUUAGCAGCAGCAAUUAGUUAGGAACAAUAUCAUUGCAGCCAAAAGAAUUCCAUGUUGUACUAGGAAACUCUAGCUAUCGGGAUUUUAAUGUGAAACGAACCAUUAACUUGACCUUUAAAACUACAUCACUCAGCCCACAUCUUUGAAAAGGAAAAUAUUAAAUUCUCCCAUCUCAGUUU